AGUCGUACGGUAGCACAGAGAGCUUGCUCUCGGGUGACGAGUGGCGGACGGGUGAGUAAUGUCUGGGAAACUGCCUGAUGGAGGGGGAUAACUACUGGAAACGGUAGCUAAUACCGCAUAAUGUCGCAAGACCAAAGAGGGGGACCUUCGGGCCUCUUGCCAUCAGAUGUGCCCAGAUGGGAUUAGCUAGUAGGUGGGGUAACGGCUCACCUAGGCGACGAUCCCUAGCUGGUCUGAGAGGAUGACCAGCCACACUGGAACUGAGACACGGUCCAGACUCCUACGGGAGGCAGCAGUGGGGAAUAUUGCACAAUGGGCGCAAGCCUGAUGCAGCCAUGCCGCGUGUAUGAAGAAGGCCUUCGGGUUGUAAAGUACUUUCAGCGGGGAGGAAGGUGUUGUGGUUAAUAACCACAGCAAUUGACGUUACCCGCAGAAGAAGCACCGGCUAACUCCGUGCCAGCAGCCGCGGUAAUACGGAGGGUGCAAGCGUUAAUCGGAAUUACUGGGCGUAAAGCGCACGCAGGCGGUCUGUCAAGUCGGAUGUGAAAUCCCCGGGCUCAACCUGGGAACUGCAUUCGAAACUGGCAGGCUGGAGUCUUGUAGAGGGGGGUAGAAUUCCAGGUGUAGCGGUGAAAUGCGUAGAGAUCUGGAGGAAUACCGGUGGCGAAGGCGGCCCCCUGGACAAAGACUGACGCUCAGGUGCGAAAGCGUGGGGAGCAAACAGGAUUAGAU
rnacentral:rRNA from 1 species